rnacentral:lncRNA from 1 species
GAGCAGCUUAUCAUCUGAAUAAUAGAGACCCGGGACAAUGAUGGAAGGGCAGAAGGCUAACUGCUCGUUCUCCGCAAAGAAGUUAUCAAUGUUCUUGUUUAACACCAAGCGACCCACUGGCUGCAAUGGGAAGAUGUCCUCUGGCCAGGUUUUGGUUACAUCAAGUGGGUCAAAAUCAAACCUGUCCUCGUGAGCAGGAUCCAUUGUCUGAAUGAAGAGCUUCCACUCAGGGUAGUUUCCAGCUGCAAUUGAGUCAUAGAGAUCUUGUGUGGCAUGACUGUGAUUGGAUCCACCAACUCUUAUGGCCUCAUCGUCCAACAGACAUUUCACCCCACAAGUUGGUCUCCAGUGGAAUUUCACGUACUGUGCCUUCCCAGCCUUAUUGAUUAGAGUGUAGGUGUGAACACCAGAGCCAUCCAUGUGCCUGUAAUCCUGUGGAACACCCACAUCAUCAAAGAGGAAGGUGAACAUGUGCAAGCUUUCUGGGUGGUGCGAAAAGAAGUCCAGAAUCCUCCAGUUUUCCUGAAUGUGGGACUUUGGGUUCGGUUUGAGUGCAUGGACCAUAUCAGGGAACUUCAUUCCGUCACGGAUGAAA